rnacentral:lncRNA from 10 species
AUGAAUAUAUUGCAUAAUGGUUUAGUCUGGGCUGUUAGCGUAACCAUCAACUGAACAGUGUACUUUGUACCUAUUAGGUACUUUCUCAUCCCUUAACCCCUUCCCACCUUUCUGAGUCCUCAAUGUCUGUUAUUUCAUUCUCCAUGUCCAUGUCUACAAAUUAUUUAGUUUCCACUCAUAAGUGAGAGCAUGGAUGGAACUGGAGAAGAGUAUUUUCUAUCCCAAGAUCGGUUCCUUGAUCUUGUGUCUCCAAAUCACUUGCUCUCUCUCUUACAUCUUUUCUAUCUUCUUCUAGCCUCUUUUUGCAAACUUCAUUUUGACAAAGAAUUCCAGGCAGUCUACAGCUGAUUUUAUUUCAAUACAACGAUUAAAAUGGAAACCAUAUAUGAAGAUGACAAAGUUGAGCAGGUCCCAAACUCUCACUUUUAAACAAAUGCUUGGCUUAAGAAUCACUUAAUGACUUUCAUUCUGCUAUCUAUGUGUCUGUGUAUCUAGGUACUAAUUAUCUAUCUUUAUGAUCUUUAUUGCUAGAAAUUCUGGUUCAAUAUCAGAGGUUAGUCCUAAGGAAUUUAUAUUUUAAAAUAUUCUCCCAGUUUUCGUGCACAGACAGAUUUGGGAAUUACUGUUAUAAUGGAAAAUGGAGAAUAACCACCCACAUUUAAUAUGGUUAUUGGUUUUGUUCUUGAGAUUUAUUGCUAAGAUUCAUGAUAGCCCAGGCAAGGUCAGAUAAUGUAUUUUUAUUUUACACUGUAUAGUUGAUUCUUCUCAAUCCCACUAGAUCAGACUCUUUGGGAUACUAGGAUUGGCCUAUUUGAUGGUGAGCUCACUACAUCCAUUUAGAUGUUGUGUCCAUGCAAUCAUUUUAGUUCUCCUAGUUUCUACCUAUCACGUUGUCAUUUUCCCUUCUUUAUCAUCCUGGGUAGCUGAGACCCCACAUAAAUAUAUACCAGAAAAAUGUUGUGGUCUUUUCUAAACUCUCUGAGGCAUCUGUUGUCAAUGUGAUGUUGUUUUUUGUUUCCAGUCCAAAAUAUAUCAAAGUAAAAUUUAACUCCACUUUUGCUAAGUAUUCAUCUUGCCUUGAGUACUAAGAUUCCAAAAAUGACUUUCCCCUCUGAAAAACACAGGAUUUCCUUGCGAAAACUUGCUGGGCCACUGCCAAUCUUCCCAGAAACUCCUUUUUCCUUAUCGUUGAGGGGAAUUGGGGAAGUGAUCACUGACGGUUGAAAUUCAGUAGUUUUGGUCUUUAAGCUGAGACCCUGAGUCUUCUGAGGAGUCUACUGCUCCCCAGUGGGAAACACCUGCUGUCAAAAUUUUCCUGCUUGCAAAGAGCACUUUUGAAAUUAAUGGCAGGGGAUGAAUAUCUGGCUAGUGCUGUGCUCAGCUGAGUUAUUAAUAGGGCCUUCUGAGUCCUCUCUACACAUCAUCUUUGGCUGAAUUAGCUGUGGUUUCAGCACCUGAGAGUCUAGCACCACUAAAGGCAGGGAAUACCUUUGCCAGUUUCUGGCAUAUUAACAGCUGAGAUCAGAUAAGUGAACAGCGAUAGAGGUAGUGAGGUUUAGGAUUCAGGUCUGCCACCGGGAGCGCACCUCUGGGCUCAGGUCUCUCAUUUGUAAAAUGGGACAUUUAGGUCAGAUCAGCAUUUUCAAAAGUGUGACAUGUUAGUAAAUAAGAUGAUUUUAUGUGGUUGACAGAUGAAUGUAUUACCUUUAGUGGUUAUAUGUUUAUUUUCAUGGUUACUUUUAUUUAUAAUAAAUUUUGUGACUAGCUAAGAAUCAAUUAUCUCUUUAAAAUAUAUUUAAGUUUAAAAUGUGGGCCAACUUAGGAAAAAAACGGGAUGAAAUGAAUUAUAUAAAAGGUAUGCAGAUUUGGAAAAAUUUUGAAGGUGUCACAAGAAAGAUUGGCAGUCAGAAAGGAAUGAACCAAACGGCUGCUGAGGGUCAGGCCAGCUCUCUGACAUUCUAGCAUGUUCACAUCUCCAGGGCUGUUUCCUUACCUAUAAAUUGUGGCAAUUGGAGUAAAUGUCCAUUCCAGGAAUUCUAUUCUAUGAUUAGAGGUGUAACUUCAUCAUCCAGAUUUUCCAGCAUCCUUAACAUGUGGUUUUAGCGUUCUAAACCUGAUGAUGCUAUAUCAAAACGGGAGACUCAUUCGUCAAGUCAUGAUGUAUCCAUGUAUUUAUAAUAUUUCCCAUGUUCCCUCAUUUCUGAAAAGGAUUAAGCUAUCAACCCCAUUGAGUUAUAGGUGAAAGGCUGUGGAAACAAGACAUUGAUAGUGAAAUGGCUCCACCACUAACAGGCUGUUGAACAAAGGCAAAUCUCUUGAUCUCUUUGCUCUUUGGUCUCUGUUUAUCUAUGAGAUAACGUUAUUUUUACGCUGUCUUCUGUGAAAGUUUUGAGAAUGAAAUGAGACAGAGCCUCCAAUAAAAUUUAGGGAAGUGCUACAUAAAUGCAAGGAGUUAUUAUGAUAACAGAUUGAAAACUCCUCCAAGGAGGAGUUUCUCUUUUGCCCCAUGUUAUAAACUCAAGAAUAUCUUCCAUUUUGCCUACAUAUUCCAAAAGCUUUUAAAUUAAGCUAUAUGUCAUUCUUACAGGAGUCUCCUCUAUUUCAGCAAUGUGUAUACUUGGUCAGUUUUAAUUAUCUUAAAGGAGAAGAAUACAGUUUCUCUAAACUCAAGCACUUUUGUGGACUAAUCCUUGCAAUUAUUCUUUCUUCUUUCCCAUACUUGACAUUUAAAGUGAUAUCUCCCAGGCUCCUACACUGUUAGUCACAGAGGUACCAUUCGACCCCUUGUGCCUCUUACCAUAUGUGAAUGCUUGUCAGUUGAGAGUAAACUUUCUUCAUAAAUUUCACAGUUGUGGAUUGAUAAAAACAGAGAACUCUGGUUCCUCAUUCCUUCCUGCUUUCUUUCUUGAAAUGCCAUUCAUGAUGGUCCCUUAUAUCACUAUAGGGCUGCUAUCAUCCUUCAUCCUUAUGCCACUGCAAAUAGCAACCAACAGUGUCCUUAGUGCCAGCACUCCCAGGCAUGCCCCUUUCCAAGCAGCAGGGUCAAGCCGCUCCCUUCCUGAGCUGUGGCAUCUGUCUCUAAAUCAUGCUUCCUCCUUGCCUGCUGCAGGCCCUUGUCUCUGCCCUUUACUUUUUCUGGCUCUUGCCACGGUUUUGAAUAAAACUCUUCCAAAUAUCUGAAGCUCAAUUCUGUUGCCAUUCUAAGCUCUCUAAAUGUCACCACAAUCUUCCUUCCUUUGCAUUUUCUUAUUGUGCACUAAGUUAGUUCUUGCUUAGUAAGUCUUGUCUUUCUCUCUGCUUUGACCUGUCAGUAUUCCAACUUCCUUAUUUUUUGAUGUUCAUUUUCUCCUUGCUCUCUUUCUUCCUUUCUUGUCUGUGAACUCCAUUAACCGCUUCUGCAUGUGACCAUUAAUGUGCCUGUCUUUCUUCUCAUGUAUUAGAGAGAACAAAAGCUUUGGGAAUCAGACAGAUCUGUGUUCUGAUCCUGUCUUAUGGUAUCUGUCUUGUUUGUCUCGGCUUAAAAUGGGGAUAAUAUCUACCUCUCAGUUUUGUUGGCAGUUCAGUACACGGAAAUAAAGUUCUCACUUUCUUUUUUCUCCUUGAGAGUGUUCUUUAUUUUACUCAUCUGGCCAUCUAAUAUUUAUGAAGAAGCUACUCUGUGGUUGAAAAGGCACAUGAAGCUGCAGAAGUAAAUGACCAAGAAGUGCCCUCAAAGUUACGGAGUUCAGAUUCAUUUUGGCAAGAGA